UACGAAGGGGGCUAGCGUUGCUCGGAAUCACUGGGCGUAAAGCGCACGUAGGCGGCUUUCUAAGUCAGGGGUGAAAUCCUGGAGCUCAACUCCAGAACUGCCUUUGAUACUGGGGAUCUCGAGUCCGGAAGAGGUGAGUGGAACUCCGAGUGUAGAGGUGAAAUUCGUAGAUAUUCGGAAGAACACCAGUGGCGAAGGCGGCUCACUGGUCCGGUACUGACGCUGAGGUGCGAAAGCGUGGGGAGCAAACAGG
rnacentral:rRNA from 1 species